GCGACCAUACCAAGUAGGGGAACACCGGUGCUCGUCUGACUACCGAAGUUAAGCGACGUCGAGCCUGGUCAGUACUUGCAUAGAUAGUAUAUCAGGGCCUUUUU
rnacentral:rRNA from 1 species